UACGGAGGGUGCGAGCGUUAAUCGGAAUUACUGGGCGUAAAGCGUACGUAGGCGGCUUGUUAAGCAAGAUGUGAAAUCCCCGGGCUCAACCUGGGAAUGGCAUUUUGAACUGGCAGGCUCGAGUUCUGAAGAGGGUGGUAGAAUUUCCAGUGUAGCGGUGAAAUGCGUAGAUAUUGGAAGGAAUACCGGUGGCGAAGGCGGCCACCUGGUCAGAAACUGACGCUGAGGUACGAAAGCGUGGGGAGCAAACAGG
rnacentral:rRNA from 1 species